GAGUGUGUGUAGUCAUGUUCGUAGACACACCAACACAGCACACUCGUACACAGCCACAUAUACACACAUGCACACAUAUACACACAUGCACACAUAUACACACAUGCACACAUAUACACACAUGCAUGAACACGCACACACACAGGCACAUAUGCACUCAUGCACACAUACAUGAACAUGCAUAAACACGGGCACAUAUAUAUACACACAUGCACACAUACGCACACAUACAUGAAUACACACACACAACACACAGAAACACAUACACACACGCAUCAACACAUGCAUGCACACAUGCGCACACACUCUUAUGUGGGCCAGCCAAGAGUGGCUUUCUUCCUCCCUCAAGUUCUCCUGUCUAACAUUCCUCUGGUCUUAUCAGGAGAGGAGCUCCUGGCCUUCAGAGUGAGUGUUGUCAAUGCAAGAGACAGUCAGUUAAUUAGAGACAGCGUCUCCAUGAAUAACCAUGCAAAAUGUUUACUGCUGGGGUUCCAAUAGCAACAGUCUAUGCGAUCUCUUUCUUUCCCUUUUAAUCCAUUAUGUAAACCUUUUAAAGAGUAGCCUAGGAAACAAAUUCUGAAGAGUGUUUUUCAGCCUCAUAUAUUAGAGUAGAUCAGCAAUUUUCAGGUUAAGGACAACUUCGGUUUUCGUGAUUAGACGGGAGGGGGCCAAGCAGAGUUGACGCUAACCUACGAUACACAGGGCCCCUACAACAAAAGAUUACGGUGCUGAGAGUAAAAUUCCCUAAGUCAAGUGGA
rnacentral:lncRNA from 1 species